AACUAUCUACGGACAUGCAAAAACUACAGAAACAACAGGAUUGAAAUCUACAACAAAUACAUUGAUGCAGACAAGGAGGGCAAACAACAACGGAGCAUCGGCGGGCAUAACAAACGCAAUGCGAACAUUACGCUUUAUACCGGCCGGCUCUGUUGUCCCCCUGUGUGUUGUUUAUUGGCUGGCUGGAUUGAUGGUGUUGGCGUGCAUCUUGGGCAAAAGUUGGAGAUGGCGUGCGGCUCUAGUCCGGCCGCCCACGUUGCAUCUGUCUGUUUGUUUGGUGCAGCAGACCGAGUGGCACUGGUCCGGCCACCCGAAGAUGCAUUGUCCAGUGUGUUGGCAUUGACAUCGAAAUGCCAACGAAUCAUGUUAUUGGCCGCAUCCGAGUGGCUGCUGGUCCGGCCACCAGGAUGCGUUGUCGAUUUUAAUUGUUGGCCGCAUCCGAGUGGCUGCUGGUCCGGCCACCAGGAUGCGUUGUCAGUUGGAUUGGCCUGGCCUCGUUGGCCACGUUCGUCAUCAAUUUGUAAUGGCGUUUUGAAUGGCUGCUGGUCCGGCCAUCCAGAUGAGGAGGUGUUCGUUUUGGCAUGUGAUUUACGUUUGUGUUUAUUUGCAGGUACUUUCGGCGUUUGGAUGUUGUUGCUGGCGACCCUUGUCUGGUUUGUGAUGGCGUAAAACAGCAGGAUUUGCUGGCGUCCGGCGGCUCAACACCGGGCCAUCCCGCCCUCAC
rnacentral:sRNA from 15 species